rnacentral:rRNA from 1 species
UUCUUGGAGAGUUUGAUCCUGGCUCAGGACGAACGCUGGCGGCGUGCCUAAUACAUGCAAGUCGAGCGAAUCAAUAGGAGCUUGCUCCUGUUGAUUAGCGGCGGACGGGUGAGUA